UACAGAGGGUGCAAGCGUUGUUCGGAAUUAUUGGGCGUAAAGGGCGCGUAGGCGGUGCGGUAAGUCUGUAGUGAAAUCUCUGGGCUCAACUCAGAGUCUGCUGCAGAAACUGCCGUGCUUGAGUGUGGGAGAGGUGAGUGGAAUUCCCGGUGUAGCGGUGAAAUGCGCAGAUAUCGGGAAGAACACCCGUGGCUAAGGCGGCUCUCUAGUACGGUACUGACGCUGAGACGCGAAAGCGUGGGGAGCGAACAGG
rnacentral:rRNA from 1 species